rnacentral:rRNA from 1 species
CGGAGGGUGCGAGCGUUAAUCGGAAUUACUGGGCGUAAAGACGCAUGCAGGCGGCCUCGUUAAGUUACAGAUGUGAAAGACCCGGGGCGUUAACCUCGGAAUUGUCAUUUGUAAACUAGGCAGGCUAGAGUCGUUGUAGAGGGGGGUAGGAAGUUUCAGGUGUAGCGGUGAAAUAGCGUAGAGAUCUGAAGGAAUACCAGUGGCGAAGGCGGCCCCCUCGGACAAAGACUGACGCUCAGAUGCGAAAGCGUGGGGGAGCAAACAGGAUUAGAUACCCCUGGUAG